rnacentral:tRNA from 1 species
GGAAAGUUGAGUGAGUGGCUUAAACUAUUUGUUUGCUAAACAAACGUACAUCAUUAUGUACCACAGGUUCGAAUCCUGUACUUUCUUCCA